GCCCCCAAGGACAGACGGGCAAGCUGGAGUCAGGAGAGGCGCAGCCGUGGCCCACAGGCCUUGGAUCUCUGGUUGGGGGAGCACCAGGAAGGGGACCCUGCACCAUCUUGGCUGGGGUUGUAGCAGAUGCUCUGGUGUCCUGUGGCUCCUCCGCCCCACCCUCACAGCGCCCCACUGCAGGGCUGCAGUCAGAAGCCUCAGGUUGCAGCCUGCCCGACAGCUCAAGCUCAGCAGGGCCGAAUGGAGAAUGUGUACCUCCUCCUCCUAACAUUGUUAAAAAUAAAAUUUGUAUUUUGACACAA